rnacentral:lncRNA from 1 species
AUGCAUUUUCCCACGGCCUUGUUGGUUCCUUCCACAGAGGCAAAUCAGAGACAAGAGAGUCUUUUCCAAAACUCUAUCAAAAUGACAGAGCCUCGGCACGGCCUUCCCCACGUCCUGCAGAUUCUGUGUCACACAGCUCGCGGUGGUCAGUUUGCCAGCUCUUGGGCAUGGCGAAAGAACGAUCUUUGGAAGAGCAGGGAAGCCCAGAAGUUCACAGAAAAGAAAGCUGUCAAAUUCUUCUUGCAACAGUGGCUUUGGCAUCUCCAAGUACCUGACCUCAGCUCAACCUGUCUUGGGCUUUCUUCCCCUCCCUGA